ACAUAGGGAGGUAGUGACAAUACAUACUAAUGCGGGGCUUUUGCCUUGCAAUUGGAAUGAGUACAACUUAAACCUGUUAACGAGAACCCAUCGGAGGGCAAGUCUGGUGCCAGCAGCCGCGGUAAUUCCAGCUCCAACGGCGUAUAUUAACGUUGUUGCAGUUAAAAAGCUCGUAGUUGAAGUUAUGAUAUGUCCUUUUAAAUUUCUGCAUUUUUGCCUUCGGGUGAUGGUGUAGUGUUUUUAGGCAUGUCGUAUUUUUGCUGUUUUGAUGUAAGUGACUUCACUGUUGCUUGCAGCUUGCAGCAUAUUACUGUGAAAAAAUUAGAGUGUUCCAAGCAGAUGUAUAUCUGAAUAGUUCAGCAUGGAAUAAUGGAAUAGGGGAGAUUGCCCUAUCGUUGGUUUUGGGGUGAUUUCUGAUGAUGAAUAGGGACAGUUGGGGGCAUUAGUAUUUAAUUGUCAGAGGUGAAAUUCGAGGAUUUAUGAAAGACUAACUUCUGCGAAGGCAUUUGCCAAGGAUGUUUUCAUUGAUCAAGAACGAAAGUUAGGGGAUCGAAGACGAUCAGAUACCGUCGUAGUCUUAACCAUAAACGAUGCCGUCUAGGGCUGAGUCUUUUUAGAUUCGGACCUUUAGAGAAAUCGCAAGUUUUUGGGUUCUGGGGGGAGUAUGGUCGCAAGGCUGAAACUUAAAGGAAUUGACGGAAGGGCACCACCAGAAGUGGAGCCUGCGGCUUAAUUUGACCCAACACGGGGAAACUCACCAGGUCCAGACAUAGAGAGGAUUGACAGAUUGAGAGCUCUUUCUCGAUCCUAUGGAAAGUGGUGCAUGGCCGUUCUUAGUUGGUGGAGUGAUUUGUCUGGUUAAUUCCGUUAACGAACGAGACCUCAAGAGAGUGUUUUGUGCUUCCUUAUCAAAGGAAUGUCUAUCCGCUCUCGACUAUCGGUUCUUAAGCCGAAGGAAGGUUGAGGCAAUAACAGGUCUGUGAUGCCCUUAGAUGUUCUGGGCUGCACGCGCGCUACACUGAUAGAGGCAAAAAGUGGGACAUUUGCCUUGUUCGGAAGGACUGGGUAAUCUUGCGAAACUCUAUCGUGCUGGGGAUAGAUCUUUGUAAUUAUCGAUCUUCAACGAGGAAUUCCUAGUAAGCGCGAGUCAUCAGCUCGCGUUGAUUACGUCCCUGCCCUUUGUACACACCGCCCGUCGCUACUACCGAUUGAAUGGUUUAGUGAGGUUGGGGGAGGCGGGUCACUUAUGACUCUUCCUAACAGAAAUUGCCGGACCUUAU
rnacentral:rRNA from 1 species